rnacentral:tRNA from 1 species
GCCCCCGUAGCUCAGCGGUAGAGCGACGGUUUUGUAAACCGUAGGUCGAGGGUUCGAUCCCCUCCGGGGGCUC